rnacentral:rRNA from 1 species
GUGGGGAAUUUUGGACAAUGGGCGCAAGCCUGAUCCAGCAAUGCCGCGUGCAGGAAGAAGGCCUUCGGGUUGUAAACUGCUUUUGUACGGAACGAAACGGUCCGGGUUAAUACCCUGGGCUAAUGACGGUACCGUAAGAAUAAGCACCGGCUAACUACGUGCCAGCAGCCGCGGUAAUACGUAGGGUGCAAGCGUUAAUCGGAAUUACUGGGCGUAAAGCGUGCGCAGGCGGUUUUGUAAGACAGGCGUGAAAUCCCCGGGCUCAACCUGGGAAGUGCGCUUGGGGCUGCAAGGCUGGAGUGCGGCAGAGGGGGAUGGAAUUCCGCGUGUAGCAGUGAAAUGCGUAGAUAUGCGGAGGAACACCGAUGGCGAAGGCAAUCCCCUGGGCCUGCACUGACGCUCAUGCACGAAAGCGUGGGGAGCAAACAGGAUUAGAUACCCCGGUAGUCC